ACCUAUGGCCAUGCCACUCUGAAGAAGUCUGAUCUUAGAAGCUAGGCAAGGUCAAGCCUGUUUAGUACCUGGAUGGGAGACCACCUGGGAAUACCAAGUGCUGUAGGCU
rnacentral:rRNA from 1 species